rnacentral:rRNA from 2 species
GGCGGAAGGAUCAUUA